rnacentral:rRNA from 1 species
CUUCCGUAGGUGAACCUGCGGAAGGAUCAUUACCGAGUGAGGGCCCUCUGGGUCCAACCUCCCACCCGUGUCUAUCGUACCUUGUUGCUUCGGCGGGCCCGCCGUUUCGACGGCCGCCGGGGAGGCCUUGCGCCCCCGGGCCCGCGCCCGCCGAAGACCCCAACAUGAACGCUGUUCUGAAAGUAUGCAGUCUGAGUUGAUUAUCGUAAUCAGUUAAAACUUUCAACAACGGAUCUCUUGGUUCCGGCAUCGAUGAAGAACGCAGCGAAAUGCGAUAAGUAAUGUGAAUUGCAGAAUUCAGUGAAUCAUCGAGUCUUUGAACGCACAUUGCGCCCCCUGGUAUUCCGGGGGGCAUGCCUGUCCGAGCGUCAUUGCUGCCCUCAAGCACGGCUUGUGUGUUGGGCCCCCGUCCCCCUCUCCCGGGGGACGGGCCCGAAAGGCAGCGGCGGCACCGCGUCCGGUCCUCGAGCGUAUGGGGCUUUGUCACCUGCUCUGUAGGCCCGGCCAAGCGCCAGCCGACACCCAACUUUAUUUUUCUAAGGUUGACCUCGGAUCA